UGCGGAGGGUGCAAGCGUUAAUCGGAAUUACUGGGCGUAAAGCGCAUGUAGGUGGUUAACUAAGUCAGCUGUGAAAUCCCCGGGCUCAACCUGGGCACUGCAGUUGAAACUGGUUAGCUAGAGUAGGGUAGAGGGGUGUGGAAUUCCAGGUGUAGCGGUGAAAUGCGUAGAUAUCAGGAGGAACACCUGUGGCGAAAGCGGCUCACUGGACCACAACUGACGCUGAUGCACGAAAGCUAGGGGAGCAAACAGG
rnacentral:rRNA from 1 species